UAGAGGGCAACCGGAAGUCUGGGCGCUGGCCUCAAGGGAUUGUUGAAUGAUGACAGCAGUGGGCAUGAAGAUUAAAGAUCAGGCUGAGAGCUAUUCUGGCUAUAGAAUUGAAGACACAGACAGGAUUUGGAGCCGGCUAGACAAAGAACUGAGAGAGAAGGAGGAGUCUAGGAGGCGCCAGCUGCUUCGUUUCUUGGCGAGGACUCCUGAGCAGCGACCUCUCACCUAGGCAUGGUGACCUGGUGACCUGAGUCUUCAUGUUUGGGGAAGCUGCUUUCAUGGGAUUCAGCCACCCCUGGAUCUACCUGGAUUCCCCAGCCUCCCAAUGUUCCAAGGAUGAUCUGAAGAGAGGAGACACACUGAGAGGCCACCACCAUUGCUAGUUUUCUGAUGACCUGAAAGUAGGUGUCAGAGCUGGACAGGUCCUGCAUGGCCUCCGAGGUGCAGAACCGGUUUUGAGGGUAGAUUAACAGGAAGCUAUUAUUUGGCCUGACAGGAACAAGCUCUGCAAUGGAACUAGCUGCUAGGGAGUGGCUCCCCCAGGGGCUUAGUGGCAUUCAUAUAUAGAGAACUCACUCAUAUCUGAUAUUAUCAGGGGCUAACCAAAGUGACCAAAGAGCCUGGAGACGGGGCCUUUUGCUUAUCACAGAAGGAAAGAUGAGAAUCACCCCCCAACCCCACCCCAAGCUACUGAACAUAUUUGCCUCCCAAGGAUCUGUACAAGAAAUGGCUGUGUUGUGUACUGCAGAAGUCUCAUUACAAUUCACUUCUGCGACUCACCAAAACUGAUUCCUGGAACUGAGAGCUAGCUAAGGGGGCAGCUAGGACUAUAUGAGGCCUCUCAAGCCAGCUCAGGAGGGCCAAAGAACAUUCUCUUUGACCGUGAGGACAAUGCUCUGACAACUUAUCUCCUAGGGAAUCUUUGGUCCUCCUGGUACUUUGAGACCUCUGGGGUCUUGCAGAUUGCUCGGUUUUCAGGGAAGGGGAGUUGCUUUCCCUGUGUGCAGCCCAUCCCUGGCUACUCUAAAGACCUCGUGAAAAACAGACCUAAAGACAUCGUCUAGAGAGCUCAAGAAAACUAGGGAGUGGUGGCAAGUGAGUUUGCUGGGGUCGGAGAACCGAACCAGCAUUAAGAUCCUCUCUAGAUCAUGUGCAAAAUUAGUAAAAGGAGAGGACUUUCUAGCAUCUCUUCCCCUCCCCACUCCAGCGCAUCAAGAAACCAGGCGACGAGGCUCUGGGGGCUGCUUUUAUGGGGACGACCUGACAGAGGGCAUGGUCCGUACAAAACCAGGAACAAUACAUACAUAUAUAUAUUAUAUACAGAGACGGGGUCCUCCAAGGGCGGGGCAGGAGCGCUGCCGGUCAAAACCGGAAGUACAUCGAGGACCCGCCCACCCGGCUCCACCCCCUCCAUCUGCCUGGGUGAAGUGCAGGGGCCGGGCACAGUGACAGCCAGCUCUUUCCGGGGAGUCGGGGGCACGUCUAGGGACGGAAGAGACGGGCAAGAAAUACUGAUUGAUGGCAUGGUCUAUUUACAGGGGACUCGGAGAAACCGAAAAGGAUAGAACUGGGUCGUUUUCAAAAGAAGAAAAAAAGGAACAGAAAUUUAGGCUUAGGGCAAGGGUGGUAAUGUGGAAGUGGCAAGAGAUGGAUUCUGAAAGGGGAGGGUACCUGAGGGGGUCUCACCUCCCUUGGUCCAAGCCCCAAUUUGGGGUUAAAGUGGGGAAACUGAGUCAAUUUCACUUAGAAAGCAGGCUGACAGCAAGCAGCCCUGGUCUCCAAAAAGAUUAGUAAAAUUUUGCCCUCCAGUGAAAACGUUGGAAAACAGCGGGGGAGGGGAAGAGGGGAGGCAGAGUCUCCUCGAUGGUAAUACAAGGCCUCCAGGUGUGGCCCUAGGCAGGGCCUAGCUCCCCAGGGAGAGCUCUGCAGGCACAC